AAAGUUGAAACUUAAAGGAAUUGACGGAAGAUCACACAAUGACUUGGAAUAUGCGGCUUAAUUUGACUCAACACGGGAAACCUUACCAGGUCCGAACUUGAUAGGGUAUGACAAUUUGAUACCGUUUUCAU
rnacentral:ncRNA from 1 species